AUGGCGGUUGACAUAGGUUUUUCUUUCAAAUGUUGAGCCAGGUGAUUUGGUGAGAGUUGAGCUAGGAGACUGUGUUUGUCUGUAGCCAGACGAUGACGAAUUCAAUCUACCACUUCCACUUGAAGUCACAUAGCCACUGCUAUGGGUGUAAGACCUCUUUUCAACUCCACUUCCUCCAGUGUGGGACGAUGUCUUGAGUCCACUACUGCUCCCUCCUUUGGGUGGUAAAGAUGUCAGUCUUGUUGUUACUGUCUCUGUAAUAAGCCUCUCUGUAACUUCUGAUCCAUCUUGCCUCGUUUUCUUUGUUACAGAAUCCAUAUCAUUUCCACCUGGUAUGCUUUGGUUACUGAACUGAAAAUCUGAUUUUCUCCUCAACCGUUUCUUGUUUCCUAUAUAAUCUGCCACCUAUACUAUCAUGUCCCUCCAAAGGUGUGUGGAAUCUGAGCGAUCAUCCAAAAAUGUUCAGCUCUUCUUAAUUUAACCUGUUUUACUCUCACCCUUCUUGCGCUUUUCUAUUCCCCUGC
rnacentral:lncRNA from 1 species